CCUUCCAGAAUACUCUUAUUACUCUCUAUCUUCUCUCUCUCUCUCUCUGUGAAACCCUAGCAUUCCUGUUGUUUAUCCAUCUUCGUCGGUGACUAGUAGAGGUUGCCGUAUGCUACUCUCGGAAAAUCUAUCUUCAUCCCGAUUGAGGCAAGAUUAGGCCCAAUAAAGGAAAAAGUUCGACCCAAAAGUUGUAUCUCCACUUAGAUGAUAAUAAUCACGAGAACAAUGGUGUAUAUUUAUGUUUUUUCCUAUUGGAAGAAAUAUUUGGAGCAUCGUUGAUUCCGAAGUACUCAAGAAUAGAAGAGGGAAGUUUGGGGAUCUUGAAAGACAUACCAGCUCAGAGACACUAGGUCAACUUAGGCGAGUUUUCCUGCCCCGUAUCCCAUGAUUCCCAUCCUUCUUCCUCACUAGUAGUUGGGUUUUAUCAGAUUUCAUGCGCCUGCAAUUUUUCUGCCCCCCAUUAUUUAAAUAUUCGGCUCUUACGGUUCUGGAUCUAGUGCAUGCAUUCUUGAAUUUUAGGAUUUUUUGUUUUGUUUUGUCUGCGUUGCUUUUAUCCUCAGAACCGAUAUUUCUAGUGCGAUUUCGAGAUUUAGGGUUUCAAUUGCUGUCUUGUAGCCUACAAAAAACAUGCUUGUAGGCCAAAAUACAAAGGGGAGUUGGUCUCAUUUUUUGGCACUUUUUCUUUCACUAUAUAGUCUGCUACCUUAGAAAUUUGUUCAUAGUUAUGCAAAAUCUAGUGACAGCUGCUCCAAGU